rnacentral:hammerhead_ribozyme from 1 species
ACUUAGCUGUCGAGUCUCAAAUAAGACGAAACGCUUCUUGUCCUGGAU